UGCUAGUACACCAAGACAGUCGAUCUACCGGCACACACACAUCCAUCCAUAAACAUGUCAUAGUGGGGGCCCAAUGUUGAAUUCAUUUAAUCAUGAGAUAUGGUUCUAGGCAUGUACAGUCAAGUCAAAUUAUUGGCACCCUUGAUAAAGAUGAGCAAAAAAUACUGUAUAAAAUAAAUAUCUAUUUUAUGCUCCUAAUUUAAAAAAAAAAUAUAUAUAUAUAUAUAUAUUAUUCCAAUCUAAUGGCUCAGAGAAAGAUUGAGAUAAUAAAUAAAUACAAAUUAUUUACAAAGGGUCAAUUAUUGCCACCCCUGUUUUCAAUACUUCAGCGCCCUCCCCUUGCGAGGUUCUUUUCUGCAUAUAUCCUUCUUUCAUCACCAAACCCACCACUGGUAUAUGGCCAAAGAGAUCUAUUUUCAUGUCAUCUGACCAUGGCACCUAUUCCAAUCCAUGUGCCAAUGCUGUUUAGCAAACUCCAGGCGGUGCUAUGGUCAGAAAAGUAUGGUGAUGGAUCUUUGAUGUUAUGGGGUUAUUUUGCUUCCACUGGUCCUUGGGCACUUGUUGUAAUAGGUUUUUUUUUAAUAGGUUUUUUUUUACACUUUUUUUUUUUAAAUUGAAAUGUACAUUUUCUCCCAUAUUAAGAGAUACAGUAUAACAAAGGGGAAAAAAAUGUUUUUGUUAUUUUACGAACAUAGACAGAAAUUAAACACAAAAGCUCAGUUUAAAUAUAGGAAUUAGACCCCUGGCAUAUGCUUUACAGAAGGAGCGAGGGGUUAUGUGUUGAUUGAGAGAAAUCCUUGAAACUUUUUAAAGUUGAGUUUUAUGUCCAGGAUCACCUCCCCAUGAACAUAUGACUAUGCUUCCUAUAUUAGCAGAUAAAACCAACUGAAAACAUGUCCUGGGCAUAAAAAAGUAAUAUUUUCUAGUCUGACAUCUAUGAGGUACAGAGAAAACGGUGAACUUUCUGUUUGAGGGAUGAAAGGUACUCCAGACAUCAGCAUACCCCAGAUGAUCACAAAUAGAUUUAAGCAACCUAGCUUGAGGAGAGGGUGAAACUAUGCUACAGGGAAACUUGUCAAAUAAGGGUGUUCAACAAACAAGUAAAAUCUACUUCAACCACUGCAGUGUCUGUGCUUUUAAUUCUAACAAGUCUAGAAAUACCUUUGUGAGGAAAUCAGGGUGGUGAAAAUGCCCUGCCCAUGUAAAGUGCUUUUUAAUUAUAACAAAACAACCACAUUUUAUCUUUCACACAAUUCAACACCUUAAGUGGUGGGUUUUUUUCUCAAGAAUU
ensembl:lncRNA